rnacentral:rRNA from 1 species
CGCUGGCGGCACGCCUAACACAUGCAAGUCGAGCGCUCUAACCACUUCGGUGGGGACGGGAGCGGCGGACGGGUUAGUAACGCGUGGGAACAUACCCUUUUCUACGGAAUAGCCUCGGGAAACUGAGAGUAAUACCGUAUACGCCCUUCGGGGGAAAGAUUUAUCGGUUAAGGAUUGGCCCGCGUUAGAUUAGUUAGUUGGUGGGGUAACGGCCUACCAAGACGACGAUCUAUAGCUGGUUUGAGAGGAUGAUCAGCAACACUGGGACUGAGACACGGCCCAGACUCCUACGGGAGGCAGCAGUGGGGAAUCUUAGACAAUGGGCGCAAGCCUGAUCUAGCGAUGCCGCGUGAGUGAAGAAGGCCUUAGGGUCGUAAAGCUCUUUCGCCUGUGAUGAUAAUGACAGUAGCAGGUAAAGAAACCCCGGCUAACUCCGUGCCAGCAGCCGCGGUAAUACGGAGGGGGUUAGCGUUGUUCGGAAUUACUGGGCGUAAAGCGUACGUAGGCGGAUUAGUAAGUGAGGGGUGAAAUCCCAGGGCUCAACCCUGGAACUGCCUCUCAUACUGCUAGUCUUGAGAUCGAGAGAGGUGAGUGGAAUUCCGAGUGUAGAGGUGAAAUUCGUAGAUAUUCGGAGGAACAUCAGUGGCGAAGGCGGCUCACUGGCUCGAUACUGACGCUGAGGUACGAAAGUGUGGGGAGCAAACAGGAUUAGAUACCCUGGUAGUCCACACCGUAAACGAUGAAUGCCAGACGUCGGGUAGCUUGCUAUUCGGUGUCACACCUAACGGAUUAAGCAUUCCGCCUGGGGAGUACGGUCGCA